rnacentral:rRNA from 1 species
AGCAGCCGCGGUAAUUCCAGCUCCAAUAGCGUAUAUUAAAGUUGUUGCAGUUAAAAAGCUCGUAGUUGAAUUUCGGGAUCAAAUUGUUGGUCGUGCCUUGGUACGUACUGGUAUUAUUGGUUCCUACCUUCUGAAGAACCGCGAUGUCAUUAAUUUGGUGUCGUGGGGAAUCAGGACUGUUACUUUGAAAAAUUAGAGUGUUUAAAGCAGGCUUACGCUUGAAUACAUUAGCAUGGAAUAAUGAAAUAGGACGUUUGAUUCUAUUUUGUUGGUUUCUAGGAUUGACGUAAUGAUUAAUAGGGAUAGUUGGGGGCAUUAGUAUUCAAUUGUCAGAGGUGAAAUUCUUGGAUUUAUUGAAGACUAACUACUGCGAAAGCAUUUGCCAAGGAUGUUUUCAUUAAUCAAGAACGAAAGUUAGGGGAUCGAAGACGAUCAGAUACCGUCGUAGUCUUAACCAUAAACUAUGCCGACUAGGGAUCGGAUGAUGUUAAUUUUUUAAUGACUCAUUCGGCGCCUUACG